rnacentral:lncRNA from 1 species
AUGGGAGGAGGCAGGUGCAGGGGAAGAGGAGGAAGGGCAGAUGGGGAGGGAGGGGAUGAGGAGGGCUGGGCCGCGGAGGGAAGAGCAGGGUCCAGGACGAGGGUGGAGGAGCCCGGGAGGCAGAGGAGCCUCCGGGCUCUCUCUCGUCAACCUUUCACCUGGAUGAUAGGUCUGUGCUACCAGAUUUUGUCAUCCUCUGGCACGGCCCAGCGUAUUCACUCCUCCUGGAUGCACUUCUCUGCUCUGCCUGAAGGAUGGCGAUGAAAUGACAUCUCCAUGGAAACAAGUGUUGAUCCUACAGCUGCUUAGUGAUGUGGUGCAGGAUGAUGUAAGCUACGCUCUGGUUUCCUGAGGCGCUUGGUGUGCUUUGAUGUGCCUGUGCUACUGGAGCCCAGAUGAUUAGGAGGUUGCUUCCCUUGCUUCUCCCCUUCUUAUGUAAAAGGCAAAAAGAGCUGGAGAUUGAGCUGUGCUGGGAGGAAUGCUCUUGUAAAGACAGCUGUGUCAGGAGUCAGAGGUAAGAGGAUGAAGGUGACGGGUUUCCCUGGAGACCCACAGGUUGGGGGAGCCUUGGACACUGUGUCCAGGGGGGUAGCUGCUGGCCAAAGGCAAGCUUCCCCAUGACGCUGGGGGCAGCUGCCCUUUCCCCCCAGAGCAGCCCUAGCAGAACAGCACAAAUGGAAGCCUACACACUGGAUCUCCAGAUGCUUAAAAUUAUAAGCCUGGCCAGCAGAUUGUUAAAUAGAACAUAUUCGAUCCUCUGACCUUGGCGACAUGGCAGCCAGAACAGUGGCCCUCCAGAGAUGGCCACAUCCUAAUCCCAGAAACCGGUGAACUUGUUAUGUUGCAUUAGUGUUGUAGACAGAGGGAAGGUUGCACAACGAGCUGACUUCAGGACAGGGAGGAUUGCAGGCUAGAUUAUCUGUGUGGGUGCCGUGUAGUCACAGGGCCCUCAGGAGAGAAGGGCAAAGGAGAAGGGCAGAGUGGUGCCAUGGGAGAAAUACCCAACCGGCCGCUAUUGGGUCUGUGGGUGUUGGUGGCCCCUAGAUGCUAGAGAAGGCAAGAGGACAAAUCCUCACAUCAAGCCUCCAGAAAGGAACACAGUCCUGUCAACAGGAACACAGUCCUGUCAACA